CUACGGGUGGCAGCAGUGAGGAAUAUUGCACAAUGGGGGGAACCCUGAUGCAGCAACGCCGCGUGGAGGAUGACGCAUUUCGGUGUGUAAACUCCUUUUAUAUGUCAAGAAAAUGACGGUAGCAUAUGAAUAAGCACCGGCUAACUCCGUGCCAGCAGCCGCGUAAUAGCGGAGGGUGCAAGCGUUACUCGGAAUCACUGGGCGUAAAGGACGCGUAGGCGGGUUGGAAAGUCAGGUGUGAAAUCCUACAGCUUAACUGUAGAACUGCACUUGAAACUUCUAAUCUAGAGUAUGGGAGGGGGAGAUGGAAUUAGUGGUGUAGGGGUAAAAUCCGUAGAUAUCACUAGGAAUACCUAAAGCGAAGGCGAUCUCCUGGAACAUUACUGACGCUAAGGCGUGAAAGCGUGGGGAGCAAACAGGAUUAGAUACCCCUGUAGUC
rnacentral:rRNA from 1 species